rnacentral:piRNA from 1 species
UAAAUUUUGCACUUUUAGUUU